ensembl:snoRNA
AGGUCAUUACCAAGGCUUUUAGAAUGUGGUUUCUCAUUUGCUGUGGACAUGACCUUAAAGAAAUGCCCAUUAGGUUUAUUCUCUGCUACUUGGUAGCAUUCAGCCUUGUGGUAACAUCU